rnacentral:tRNA from 1 species
UAGCUCAAUUGGUAGAGUAUGGUUCUUGCAACACCAGGGUUGUGGGUUCAACUCUCAU